UACGUAGGUGGCGAGCGUUGUCCGGAUUUACUGGGCGUAAAGAGCGCGCAGGCGGUCGUGUAAGUCGAAUGUGAAAGCCCCCGGCUCAACUGGGGAGGGUCAUUCGAUACUGCUCGACUCGAAGGCAGGAGAGGGAAGCGGAAUUCCCGGUGUAGUGGUGAAAUGCGUAGAUAUCGGGAGGAACACCAGUGGCGAAGGCGCUUUCUGGCCUGUUCUUGACGCUGAGGCGCGAAAGCUAGGGGAGCAAACGGGG
rnacentral:rRNA from 1 species